AACGAACGCUGGCGGCAGGCCUAACACAUGCAAGUCGAGCGAAGCCUUCGGGCUUAGCGGCGGACGGGUGAGUAACGCGUGGGAACGUGCCCUUUGGUACGGAAUAGCCCCGGGAAACUGGGAGUAACACCGUAUGUGCCCUUCGGGGGAAAGAUUUAUCGCCAAAGGAUCGGCCCGCGUUGGAUUAGGUAGUUGGUGGGGUAAUGGCCCACCAAGCCGACGAUCCAGAGCUGGUUUGAGAGGAUGAUCAGCCACACUGGGACUGAGACACGGCCCAGACUCCUACGGGAGGCAGCAGUGGGGAAUCUUAGACAAUGGGGGAAACCCUGAUCUAGCCAUGCCGCGUGAUCGAUGAAGGCCUUAGGGUUGUAAAGAUCUUUCAGUGGGGAAGAUAAUGACUGUACCCACAGAAGAAGCCCCGGCUAACUCCGUGCCAGCAGCCGCCGUAAGAC
rnacentral:rRNA from 1 species